ensembl:lncRNA
AAAUUCUGUUCAAAAGGCUCACGCUCCCCCCAACAACUUUGGAAACAUCUUCUGAAGGUCCAUCUCAGACAUAUGCUUGCCAGAAGGCAUGCAGCAUGUGGUGCAAUUGGCCAUGCGCUCCUUCCUGCGACUACAGACUUCCAAUUCCAUACAAAACACUCUGUCUCCUUCCCACCACUGCACAUCCUCCUACACACAUCCCCUGGCCCCUCUUUGUUUGAAAUCUAGAUCAUUAAUAGUGAAAGGGCCUGGAUACACUCGGGACACAACUCAAACAGUGACAGAAAAACUGAUUUCAGGACAUCUGGAAACUCUAAGUUUGCAUGGCAAUCUUACUUUGGUUGGGCAGGAUAGUUUUCCAGAGGGGCAAUCUUAAUUUUGUCACAUCAAUAUAGACCAAUUCAAUUCUUGUGGCAACCAAGCAAGAAGGAACCCACAAUUGAGUGUGAAGAAGCUCAGGAAACAAUAGAAAGCAACCAACCUACAUCAGCUGUUGAAAGUCUGAUGCGACGUGGCAUAAAACAUCCCUUCACAAUGGCAACUAAAGCUCAAUAGGAGACACUUCUGCACUUGCCUGUGUUCCAGCACACGAGCAACACUGGUAUUUUCCCACACUUCCUUCCCUGCUCUGCUUCUUUGUGAACCUAAUUGUUAUUGACAUGAAUACCGGAUGUAAUCUUGUGUUAUUCUUAGAAACAUUUCAGCUCCCAGAUGAGGCCUAAAGAGAUCAGAUCCCCGUUUUUCAGACUGAAUUCCUCUGCUGCUGCUUCAGGAGGCCAGAGGAGCCAUCCUGCACAGAGCUGACAGAAAUAUUCCAUCAAGGAAGAUGAAGAGCAACAAGAUCCCAAGUCACCCUGCAGAGGGAGGGCCUGCCUACAGCAUCAGUCAUAGGGAAGUGGCCAUGUAUUUGCUAAUGGUGCUAGAGUGAUAAUCCACACCUCUGUUAGAUGUUAGACUACGUGGUAGAGUCAUGCCAAGAAAGCAGCAAUUCAAUUAAACUCUGGAAUCUACUGUUC